CGGGCUCAAACGUAGCAGGAAUAUCUUUGAAAGGAGGUAGCUCUUCGGAGUCUGCUACGAGGUGCUGCAUGGUUGUCGUCAGCUCGUGCCGUGAGGUGUCGGCUUAAGUGCCAUAACGAGCGCAACCCCUAUCGACAGUUGCCAACAGGUGAAGCUGGGAACUCUGUCGAGACUGCCGGCGCAAGCUGUGAGGAAGGCGGGGAUGACGUCAAAUCAGCACGGCCCUUACGUCCGGGGCGACACACGUGUUACAAUGGCAGGUACAGCGGGAAGCCAUAUGGCGACAUAGAGCGGAACCCGAAAACCUGUCUCAGUUCGGAUUGGAGUCUGCAACUCGACUCCAUGAAGCUGGAUUCGCUAGUAAUCGCGCAUCAGCCAUGGCGCGGUGAAUACGUUCCCGGGCC
rnacentral:rRNA from 1 species